GUACCAAAUAGAUCGGAAGACACGAAAGAGAAAACUUCAAAGGAAGUACGAGAUUUCCAUGUCGGUGGCUUGUUUUCGCAAAAUGGUAAAAGGCACAAACUUUUGAAAUAGAAAAAUUAAAGAUGUGGACCAGUUGCAAUCAUAAAAUAUUAAUCAAAAGCAUUAAUAAAGAAGAAGGGGAUAAAAGAUUGGAGGUUCGAGAAUCUUGCAUUAUCACAAAAUGCCCGUUUACUGAAAAUGAUGGCUGGCCGAUCCGACAGGUAAAAAAUUAUCAUGGACUAACCAAAAGCCCCCACGAGUUUAAUCAAAAGCCUUUUAUCAAUGAUCUUCAAAUGCAAAAGAACGUAAAAAUAAAUAAUUAUGAAGAUGUAAAUCGACUGCUGAAAGCCUGAACUGACGAAAGUGAAAGUUCCAACGGCGUUUAUUGCCGUCCAAUAAAUGCAGGUGGAAGAGUUUUGAUAUCUCGAAA
rnacentral:lncRNA from 1 species